UCAGUGAAAACCACGUGAUCAUCCACGAGUGCGGUGCAGAGUCGCUGAGAUAACCGGAACUGCAGAUGCUGGAGAAUCCGAGAUAACACGGUGUGCAGCUGGAUGUACACAGCAGGUCAAGCAGGAAAGCUGACGUUUCGGGCCUAGAUCCUUCGCUGAGACCAAGAUUUGUGCAAUUGAGAUACCAGCGAUCGUUGCCAAAGCCCUGUUCCCUGUGGAGAAGGUGAUGUUUAACUUUCGUGUGCUGCUUCAGUUUGUAUGAUAAAGGUGCUCUCACAAUGCUCCAUUUGAGAAGUUACAGAUCAUUCAUCUAGCGAUACUGAAGAGCUAAUGGUGAUAUUACAAGUGGACUUUCAGGUAGGAAGCUCAAUAAUUGUAACACCAAACUCUGACAGAAUUACUCAAUUCAUCAGGACCUGGAUAUUCGCAUUGUGUAUUCCCACAAUUUUACUUCUGCACUAUUCUUAGUCUUUCAGAGGGAUCGAAAGGUUGAGUUACAGAUCUAUACAAUGACUGUCCUUCCUCGCUGGCUUCCCCCACCUCUCUUUUGGUAGUUUUAUGCAAACACUGACUGGAUCCCUUACCUGGAGGAUAUUUAUGAAUGAAUUUGUUCUAAUGGUGAUCCAGUAUUUUCCCCAAGUAUCGCUCCACACAUGCCCAGAGAAUUUCUCAGUUUCACAAUCUGUGUCCUUCUGGUUUCUUACUCGCUACACUUAACUUUCUGUUUGAAAGUAUAGUCUGCAGUUGGAGAAUUUUAACAGGUCCACAUCCAGGUCUGACGGUCACUUUGUUUAUCACAACCCAAUUAUCUCAGGGUUUUGAACAAUGAAGGAAAACGCAGCACUCACAUUGGGGAGAAAUGCACAUGGUGUGUGUGUUGAAGAGUCUGUGAAGAUUCAUCUGAAAUGUCCGAACACCAGUGCAGUGACACUGGGAGACAGUGUGGAAAUGUGCAGAUUGCAGGAAGGAAUUUCUUCAUCCAUCCCAGCUAGAAACUGACCACCAGAGUCACACUGGAGAGAGACCAUUGACCUGUUCUGCAUGAGGGAAAGGCUUUGCUGAUUCGAAUUCCCCGCUGAUACACCAGCGAGUUCACUCUGGGGAGAGACCUUUCAUGAGCUCUGAGUGUGGGAAGGGAUUCAUUGUCAUCCAAACUGUUAACACACCAGCGAGUUCACAGACAACAACAGUUGAAGAACUUUGCUGUCACUCUCACUAUCAAAUGAACCAUGGUUUUGGGCUGUUUGUACAGAUGUUACCGAUCCCUGCUCAAUUAAAGGUGCUGGUAUUGUGAAUAAAAUGUCACACUAA